CGGAGGAUCCAAGCGUUAUCCGGAUUUAUUGGGUUUAAAGGGUGCGUAGGUGGAAGAGUAAGUCAGAGGUGAAAGCUAGCAGCUUAACUGUUAAAUUGCCUUUGAUACUGCUUUUCUUGAGUCUAGUUGGCGUUGGCGGAAUGUGACAUGUAGCGGUGAAAUGCGUAGAUAUGUCCCAGAACACCGAUCGCGAAGGCAGCUAACGAAGCUAGUACUGACACUGAUGCACGAAAGCGUGGGGAGCAAACAGGAUUAGAUACCCUGGUAGUCCACGCCGUAAACGAUGAUAACUCGACGUUGGCAAUAUACUGUUCAGCGUCCAAGCGAAAGCGUUAAGUUAUCCACCUGGGGAGUACGAUCGCAAGGUUG
rnacentral:rRNA from 1 species